ensembl:lincRNA Gm42806 predicted gene 42806
CUCAGCUAAGAGAAACCAGCUCAUUUAUUCUGAUGGAAGCCAGAGAGAUGACCCAAGCUUCUUUCUCAUCUUCAGCACCGCAUCUAUCACCACAGCAAGCUGGGCCCUCAAGCAUCCACCAGAGUGCUAUAAAAUAUGAAGUUUAACACCAAGUUUUGGGGAGCCAUGGUUGACCAGUGAAGAAGGCUUGCUGCUGAGUUCAGUUCCCAGUACCCACAUCAGACAUCACUCACGACUGCCUGUAACUACAGCUUCAGAGGGUCUGACACCCUUUUCUGGCCUCUCUGUACGCCUACACUCCCAUUCAUGUGCACACAUAUAUACACACAUACAUAUAAUUUAAACAAUAAAUCUUA